GCCUCUGUAGCUCAGUUGGUUAGAGCGCUGUCACCGGAAUCACAGGGCCGUAGGUUCAAUUCCUACCAGAGGAC
rnacentral:tRNA from 1 species